UACAGAGGUCCCAAGCGUUGUUCGGAUUCAUUGGGCGUAAAGGGUGCGGAGGUGGCGCCGUAAGUGGGGUGUGAAAUUUCGGAGCUUAACUCCGAAACUGCAUUCCAUACUGCGGUGCUUGAGGACUGGAGAGGAGACUGGAAUUCAUGGUGUAGCAGUGAAAUGCGUAGAGAUCAUGAGGAAGACCAGUGGCGAAGGCGGGUCUCUGGACAGUUCCUGACACUGAGGCACGAAGGCCAGGGGAGCAAACGGG
rnacentral:rRNA from 1 species